GAUGAAGAACGUAGCGAAAUGCGAUACUUGGUGUGAAUUGCAGAAUCCCGUGAACCAUCGAGUCUUUGAACGCAAGUUGCGCCCGAAGCCACUAGGCCGAGGGCACGCCUGCCUGGGCGUCACACGUCGUUGCCCCCCCAUCUACUCCUUCGGGAUUGCGGGGGGGCGGAUGAUGGCCUCCCGUGCGCCUAGCCGCGCGGUUGGCAUAAAUACCAAGUCCUCGGCGACGCACGCCACGACAAUCGGUGGUUGCGAAACCUCGGUUGCCCGUCGUGUGCGUUCGUCGCGCAUCGAGGGCUCGAAAAAAUGCUCGGCUCCGGCUGGGCUUUCAACGCGACCCCAGGUCAGGCGGGGUUACCCGCUGAAUUUAAGCAUAUCAAUAGCGGAGGA
rnacentral:misc_RNA from 1 species